GUUUCACGCAAGACUUUUUGCCAAAGCCAUCGAUCCGAUCUCAUAAGUUUCCAUGGUAAAAUUGAAGUUGAAACGCUUCCGAUUGACCAAUUAAAAGCUGAGUCGUAUUGGACAGGAUUGAGCGAAAUUCAUCAUUAAGGUCAAUUUAGAUGGAGCGAUGGGAUAACGCUUGGUUAUGCAAAUUGGAAUUUAUACGAACCGAACC
rnacentral:lncRNA from 1 species